GACGGCAUAGCCUAGUGGUAGUGUGUGCGCUUGGAGUGCGGGUGGGCAUGGGUUUGAUUCCCCCCUCCCACA
rnacentral:tRNA from 1 species